rnacentral:rRNA from 1 species
AACUUUCAGCAACGGAUCUCUUGGCUCUCGCAUCGAUGAAGAACCGCCAAGCGAAGCGAUAAGUAAUGUGAAUUGCAGAAUUCAGUGAAUCAUCGAAUCUUUGAACGCACCUUGCACUCCUUGGUAUUCCGAGGAGUAUGCCUGUUUGAGUCUCAUG